AUAUCAAUAAGCGGAGGAAAAGAAACUAACAAGGAUUCCCCUAGUAACUGCGAGUGAAGCGGGAAAAGCUCAAAUUUAAAAUCUGGCAGUCCUUUGGCUGUCCGAGUUGUAAUCUAGAGAAGCGUCUUAUCCGCGCUGGACCGUGCACAAGUCUCCUGGAAUGGAGCGUCAUAGAGGGUGAGAAUCCCGUCUUUGGCACGGACUGCCAGGUGCUUCUGUGAUAUGCGCUCUCGAAGAGUCGAGUUGUUUGGGAAUGCAGCUCAAAAUGGGUGGUGAAACUCCAUCUAAAGCUAAAUAUUGGCGAGAGACCGAUAGCGAACAAGUACCGUGAGGGAAAGAUGAAAAGAACUUUGGAAAGAGAGUUAAACAGUAC
rnacentral:rRNA from 1 species